GAUGAACGCUGACAGAAUGCUUAACACAUGCAAGUCGAUGGGGAAGUGGUGCUUGCACCAUGGUAACCAUGGCGGACGGGUGAGUAACACGUAAGGAACUUACCUGCGGGACCGGGAUAACAGCAGGAAACUGCUGACAAGACCGGAUAAGGUCAUUAAGCUGCAUAGCUUAGUGAUGAAAGGAGACGCCUGCGGAGAGCCUUGCGUCCUAUUAGCUAGUUGGAGGGGUAACGGCCCACCAAGGCGAAGAUAGGUAGCCGGCCUGAGAGGGUGGACGGCCACAAGGGGACUGAGAUACGGCCCUUACUCCUACGGGAGGCAGCAGUGGGGAAUAUUGGACAAUGGGGGCAACCCUGAUCCAGCAAUUCUGUGUGCACGAAGACGGUUUUCGGAUUGUAAAGUGCUUUCAGCAGGGAAGAAGGAAGUGACGGUACCUGCAGAAGAAGCGACGGCUAAAUACGU
rnacentral:rRNA from 1 species